GUAAAGAAAUAGAGGAAGCUAUGAAAAGAGUACGAGAAGCACAGUCCCUAAUUUCUGCUGCUAUAGAACCAGAUAAGAAAGAAGAAAAAAGAAGGCAUUCAAGAUCAAGAUCACGUUCUAGGAGGAGGAGGACUCCCUCAUCUUCUAGACACAGGCGGUCAAGAAGCAGAUCGAGACGGCGGUCACAUUCUAAGUCUAGGAGUCGGCGACGAUCCAAAAGCCCAAGGCGAAGAAGAUCUCAUUCCAGAGAAAGAGGUAGAAGGUCAAGGAGCACAUCAAAAACAAGAGACAAAAAGAAAGAAGACAAAGAAAAGAAACGUUCUAAAACACCACCAAAAAGUUACAGCACAGCCAGACGUUCUAGAAGUGCAAGCAGAGUAUAUUUGAAGUAACAUGGAAUUCAAGAGAGAGAGAGACGACGACGAAGAAGCAGGAGUGGCACAAGAUCUCCUAAAAAGCCUCGGUCUCCUAAAAGAAAAUUGUCUCGCUCACCAUCCCCUAGGAGACAUAAAAAGGAGAAGAAGAAAGAUAAAGACAAAGAAAGAAGUAGGGAUGAAAGAGAACGAUCAACAAGCAAGAAGAAGAAGAGUAAAGAUAAGGAAAAGGACCGGGAAAGAAAAUCAGAGAGUGAUAAAGAUGUAAAACAGGUUACACGGGAUUAUGAUGAAGAGGAACAGGGGUAUGACAGUGAGAAAGAGAAAAAAGAAGAGAAGAAACCAAUAGAAACAGGUUCCCCUAAAACAAAGGAAUGUUCUGUGGAAAAGGGAACUGGUGAUUCACUAAGAGAAUCCAAAGUGAAUGGGGAUGAUCAUCAUGAAGAAGACAUGGAUAUGAGUGACUGAAUAUUGCCUCUGAGGGAAUCCAACUGUAUACCUGCAUCAGUGUCAUUCCUUUGUGUGAUUUCUUAAUGCUGUAUUUGUUCAUCUCAAACCUAGAUGUAUACAGCUCUGAGUUAUAAAUGGUUAUAAAGCUCCUGUUACUGAUAUUAGUUAUUUACAUCAAAAAGCUUUUAGAAAAUGGUACGAGGUAACCAAU
rnacentral:sRNA from 1 species